CAAGCUUUAGGCCGGAUUUCCACUUAAGCGAAGCGGAGAGGCGAUGUGUUCAGUCAACCAAUCAGAUUCCUAAUAGAUGACGUGAAAAAAAAA